AUGUACGCACACCACGCAGGAGGCACGUACUCAGCCAUGCAUAUAGACAGCCAAGUCAUUAUGAAUCUCGCAUUCUCGAAGACACGCACUGACGACAUCACGCACGUACGCACGCCCUGGCUGCUAGGAGACGCUAUUCCCUUUACCAGGCCCUCGUGCGCGCCAGCCAGCCAGGCCAAGGCCAGGGGAGCUCGAAACUGGCAACCUGGGCGAAGAACCGGAAGGAGGAAAAGGAAACGGAGGGAGAAAGAUGAGAUGCACCUACUUCUCCCUGGAGAAGCUCGAGGAAGCAGGAAUACUGAAGAUGAGAGACCACAUCUGCUCAGGGGUUUAUUCUUCCGUCUGUUUGCAGGGCUGUUUUGGACUCAGUAUUCACCUAAGCACUCCAAACUACCCAGCACACCCUGCCUGCGCAGCUCUGUGCUGCACCUUCACUCUAGUCACGGGUGUGGCAGUCAGCUCACCAAUUCCUCCUGCUUCCCUGGGACUCGCUGGCUUUUAGCACCGCAAGUCCCUCAGCAAACUGGGACUGUUGAUCACCCUACCCGGCAGCCAGUGAUAAGGCAUCUGCCCUGCCUGGAUCUCCUCGCCUUCCAGGAGCUUCCUCUUCACAAGCCAGCCAUCCCAGCAAAAGUUCUAACAUCGAAGGUCUAG
ensembl:lncRNA